rnacentral:rRNA from 1 species
UACGGAGGGUGCGAGCGUUGUCCGGAAUCACUGGGCGCAAAGGGCGCGUAGGCGGCGCGGAUAGUCGGCGGUGAAAGCCCGGAGCUCAACUCCGGGUCGGCCGUCGAUACUUCCGGGCUUGAGCACUGUAGAGGCAGAUGGAAUUCCGGGUGUAGCGGUGGAAUGCGUAGAGAUCCGGAAGAACACCGGUGGCGAAGGCGGUCUGCUGGGCAGUUGCUGACGCUGAUGCGCGACAGCGUGGGGAGCAAACAGG